AACACAUGCAAGUCGAACGAAGCACUUGAUGUGAUUUCCUUCGGGACUGAUUAUUUUGUGACUGAGUGGCGGACGGGUGAGUAACGCGUGGGUAACCUGCCUUGUACAGGGGGAUAACAGUUGGAAACGGCUGCUAAUACCGCAUAAGCGCACGGCAUCGCAUGAUGCAGUGUGAAAAACUCCGGUGGUAUAAGAUGGACCCGCGUUGGAUUAGCUAGUUGGUGAGGUAACGGCCCACCAAGGCGACGAUCCAUAGCCGACCUGAGAGGGUGACCGGCCACAUUGGGACUGAGACACGGCCCAAACUCCUACGGGAGGCAGCAGUGGGGAAUAUUGCACAAUGGGCGAAAGCCUGAUGCAGCGACGCCGCGUGAGCGAAGAAGUAUUUCGGUAUGUAAAGCUCUAUCAGCAGGGAAGAUAAUGACGGUACCUGACUAAGAAGCACCGGCUAAAUACGUGCCGGCAGCCGCGGUAAUACGUAUGGUGCAAGCGUUAUCCGGAUUUACUGGGUGUAAAGGGAGCGCAGGCGGUGCGGCAAGUCUGAUGUGAAAGCCCAGGGCUCAACCCCGGUACUGCAUUGGAAACUGUCGUACUAGAGUGUCGGAGGGGUAAGCGGAAUUCCUAGUGUAGCGGUGAAAUGCGUAGAUAUUAGGAGGUACACCAGUGGCGAAGGCGGCUUACUGGA
rnacentral:rRNA from 1 species